rnacentral:rRNA from 1 species
AUAUAAAUAAGCGGAGGAAAAGAAACCAACAGGGAUUGCCUCAGUAACGGCGAGUGAAGCGGCAAUAGCUCAAAUUUGAAAUCUGGCAGCCUUUAACUAGGGCCCGAGUUGUAAUUUGUAGAGGGUGUCUUCGGGCAAAGCUGCGGUCUGAGUCCCUUGGAACAGGGCACCAAAGAGGGUGAGAGUCCCGUCCACGGCCGUGAGCGGCGUCGCACAUGAAGCCCCUUCGACGAGUCGCGUUGUUUGGGAAUGCAGCGCAAAAUGGGUGGUAAAUUUCAUCUAAAGCUAAAUAUUGGGACAGAGACCGAUAGCGCACAAGUAGAGUGAUCGAAAGAUGAAAAGUACUUUGAAAAGAGAGUUAAACAGUACGUGAAAUUGUUGAAAGGGAAGCGCUUACGGCCAGACUUGGAGGCCUGUCAGUCAGCCGUUGAUCUCAGCGGUGCAUUUGGCGUCUCCAGGCCAGCAGCGGUUCGGUGAGCCAGAUAAAGUGGAGCGGGAACGUAUCGCCCUGUUAUGAAUUAGGGAGAGACUUAGAGCCCGUGUUAUUACUAUAUGGCUGGGAGCAGUUAUCCGACCGGACCGUCGACACCCGGGCUUGUUGGACGCCCCUCUCGUUAAGGGGCCGCCCUCUGAGGGUCUAGUCAUUCUGCUGGCAUAAUGGUUAUAAGCGACCCGUCUUGAAACACGGACCAAGGAGUCUAGCAUCUAUGCGAGUGUUCGGGUGACAAACCCUUGCGCGUAAUGAAAGUGAACGGAGGUAGGAUGCCCUUAACGGGGUUGCACUAUCGGCCGAUCCUGAUGACAAACGGAGGGAUUUGAGCUAGAGCAUAGCUGUUGGGACCCGAAAGUUGGUGAACUAUGCGUGUAUAGGGUGAAGCCGGAGGAAACUCUGGUGGAGGCUCGCAGCGGUUCUGACGUGCAAAUCGAUCGUCAAAUAUGCGUAUAGGGGCGAAAGACUAAUCGAACCAACUGGUGAGUUUAUCAUCCUUCUCCCCCCUAAAAGGGGGGGGUUCUAGUGGACAGAAAUGCUAAUAGGGAUUGUGUGUGUUCCAGGUAGCUGGUUCCUGCCGAAGUUUCCCUCAGGAUAGCAGUAACGUUUCAGUUUCAUGAGGUAAAGCGAAUGAUUAGAGGCCUUGGGGUUGUAACAACCUCAACCUAUUCUCAAACUUUAAAUAUGUGAGAGACCUGUGUUACUUCGUUGAACGCAGGUAGUCUGAAUGAUCGCGUUACUAGUGGGCCAUUUUUGGUAAGCAGAACUGGCGAUGCGGGAUGAACCGAACGUGAGGUUACGGUGCCGGAAUAUACGCUAAUUAGACACCAUAAAAGGUGUUGACUCGUCUUGACAACCGGACGGUGGCCACGGAAGUUGGAAUCCGCUAAGGAGUGUGUAACAACUCACCGGUCGAAUGCCUCAGCCCUGAAAAUGGAUGGCGCUCAAGCGUAUUACCUAUACCUCACCGUCAAAGUUUAUUGGAUGCUUUGACGAGUAGGCAGGCGUGGAGGCUUGUGACGAAGCUUCGGGGGUAACCCUAAGUCGAACAGCCUCUAGUG